rnacentral:rRNA from 1 species
AUGAAAGGAUCUCAUGUAUCAGCAACUAUGGAGAUCACAGUAGUCCCUGUUUUGUUGCUUCUGCUUCUAGUCCCCACUUGUGUUGCUUCUGCAUCUAUCUGUAUAAUGGAGGGAUUUCCCCUUUUUUUUUCCUUGUUAAGCCAUCUCCAACAGCGUGCUGCAACAACUUCCUCACGCAGCCGCCGGCUAACGCCGGCCCACCCUCCCCUCUACCUCCCCCACCGCCGUGCCAUCCCCUACACCACCCCACCCCUAAGAGGGGCUAGUUCUUCUCCGGCAAGGUCCGGCCAAGGAAGGAACAAAAAUGUGAAUGACGCGAGGAAGCGCCAAACCCCUCUCCCUGUAUGCAACAAUGCAAAACAUAAGAGAAUGGUUUCCUUCUUCCGAACGGCACCAAAGGAAAAAAGGGUAAAAAGUCAAUUCCUUUUCAUCCAAGGAAAUACCUACAGAAACAAACACUUGGGGGGCAAACGGGGUGAUCAUACUUGGAAAAUCAAUAAAGCUUAA